rnacentral:rRNA from 1 species
UACGUAGGGUGCAAGCGUUGUCCGGAAUUAUUGGGCGUAAAGAGCUCGUAGGCGGUCUGUCGCGUCGGCUGUGAAAACCCGGGGCUCAACCCCGGGCCUGCAGUCGAUACGGGCAGACUAGAGUGCGGUAGGGGAGACUGGAAUUCCUGGUGUAGCGGUGAAAUGCGUAGAUAUCAGGAGGAAUACCGGUGGCGAAAGCGACUCUCUGGGCCACUACUGACGCUGAGAAGCGAAAGCAUGGGGAGCGAACAGG